GGGAAUUUUGCGCAAUGGGGGAAACCCUGACGCAGCAACGCCGCGUGGAGGAUGAAAUCCCUUGGGAUGUAAACUCCUUUCGCUCGGGACGAUCAUGACGGUACCGAGAGAAGAAGCCCCGGCUAACUUCGUGCCAGCAGCCGCGGUAAUACGAGGGGGGCAAGCGUUGUUCGGAAUUAUUGGGCGUAAAGGGUGCGUAGGCGGUUUGACAAGUCUUAUGUGAAAUCUCUGGGCUCAACCCAGAGUCUGCAUGGGAAACUGUCGGGCUUGAGGAUGGGAGAGGUGAGUGGAAUUUCCGGUGUAGCGGUGAAAUGCGUAGAUAUCGGAAGGAACACCUGUGGCGAAAGCGGCUCACUGGACCAUAACUGACGCUGAGGCACGAAAGCUAGGGGAGCAAA
rnacentral:rRNA from 1 species